GCCCUAAGCUUAGUGAUAGAGCAUCUGCCUCACAUAUAGAAUGUCCUAGGUUUAAUCCUUGGCAUCUGCA